rnacentral:rRNA from 1 species
GAACUGGCAUUCCCUAGUAACGGCGAGUGAACCGGGAAGAGCUCAAAUUUGAAAUCUGGCGUGCUCAGUGCGUCCGAGUUGUAAUCUAUAGAGUCGUUUUCCGUGCCGGACUGUGUCCAAGUCCCUUGGAACAGGGUAUCAAAGAGGGUGAUAAUCCCGUACUUGACACAAUGACCGGUGCUCUGUGAUACGUCUUCUACGAGUCGAGUUGUUUGGGAAUGCAGCUCAAAAUGGGUGGUGAGUUCCAUCUAAAGCUAAAUAUUGGCGAGAGACCGAUAGCGAACAAGUACCGUGAGGGAAAGAUGAAAAGCACUUUGGAAAGAGAGUUAAACAGUACGUGAAAUUGUUAAAAGGGAAACGAUUGAAGUCAGUCGUGACUGAGAGGCUCAGCCGGUUCUGCCGGUGUAUUCCCCUCAGUCGGGUCAACAUCAGUUUUGUUCGGUGGAUAAGGGCAGUUGGAAGGUGGCACCCUCGGGUGUGUUAUAGCCAGCUGUCGCAUACAUCGGAUGAGACUGAGGAAUGCAGCUCGCCUUUAUGGCCGGGGUUCGCCCACGUUCGAGCUUAGGAUGUUGACAUAAUGGCUUUAAACGACCCGUCUUGAAACAACGGACCA